UCCGUUCGACAGACGUUAGACGUUAACGACGGUAUCGCGGCGCGUAGAGCAUCCGUUCGGGCCGGGAGUUUGUCCGAUCUAACCUGUUCCUGGACGGUCCCGGACCACAUGGUGGUUCCGGGUUGACGUAGUGCGUAGGUGCGUGUUGUAGAUGUGGUGCUACGAGGAAAGGAAAAACGACAACCGACGUACAACCGAGCAACAAAAAAAAAAUGAAUCGAAAAGAAUGUUGGAAGGUUGUACCAUAAAAUAUGUAUCCUGAAAGGAAAAGAAAAAAAGCAAGCGUAAACCAGUGUUGAAUCUAAACGGGCGGAUGGCCGAGUGUUUUAGACAAGCCCUCGGUGAAUGGUGAAUAGAAACGUAGUGAAAUUCAGUGCAACUGAUUGCGGUUGAUUGUACCUUACAGCGGGGUUUGUUCGGCGGAGAGCAGCAGCCCGGAAAAAUAACGCUCCGGAGGAAAACAAAAAAGGGCUACUGCUACCAAUUCUACAAAGAACUCAACUAAAGUAUCUGGUCGAGCAUCGAAAAACUCAGCUUACCAUCCCAUCAGCCAUCGACGUCCGCAGGAGUGAACGAUGUAUUUCAAAACUGAUACUGUUGCUCUAAAAGUGCCCAAGUUUAAACCAUUCCAUCGUAAAAAAGUAACGUGGCUGGCAGAUGGAAGCAUAGGCUAGGAGCCACAUGCCAGUAGCAUUGAAGCAUUAGUAAGGGAAGAAAAACAGAAAGCACCAACCGCGAACUAGCACCCGACGUGUGAUCUAUCGGUGAAAAAUUCGUUUGCCUGCGAAUGGUAUGUAGGAAGCGUUUCUCAAAGAACGAACCUGAGGGUGGUGAAGGGCGCGAAAUGAAGGAAGGACGUUGACGCCCUCUCCACAGAAUGUUGCCUGUUCCGUCGGUUGCGAUUCGAAACUCGU